rnacentral:rRNA from 1 species
UACGUAGGGUGCAAGCGUUGUCCGGAAUUAUUGGGCGUAAAGAGCUCGUAGGCGGUUUGUUGCGUCGGCUGUGAAAUCCCGAGGCUCAACCUCGGGUCUGCAGUCGAUACGAGCAAACUAGAGUGUUGCAGGGGAGACUGGGAAAUUCCGGGUGUAGUGGGUGAAAUGCGUAGAUAUCCGGGAGGAACACCAGUGGCGAAGGGCGACUUUCUGGCCUGUUCUUGACGCUGAGGCGCGAAAGCUAGGGGAGCAAACGGG